GACGUAGGGGGCCAGCGUUGUUCGGAAUUACUGGGCGUAAAGGGCGCGUAGGCGGCCUGCUAAGUCGAACGUGAAAUCCCCGGGCUCAACCCGGGAACUGCGUCCGAUACUGGCAGGCUUGAAUCCGGGAGAGGGAUGUGGAAUUCCAGGUGUAGCGGUGAAAUGCGUAGAUAUCUGGAGGAACACCGGUGGCGAAGGCGGCAUCCUGGACCGGCAUUGACGCUGAGGCACGAAAGCGUGGGGAGCAAACAGG
rnacentral:rRNA from 1 species